ACAAUUCUUACCUGAGAGGUUCAUGUUGAAAUGAAUGAUUUCUGGCCAGUUUGCGUAUAAUCUGUGUAAAGGUAAAUCAGAAAAAUGUGUGUCCAGGGCACCUUGAAGGCCAGAGUGAUGUGGUAUGAUAUUAAAUCAUUAGACAUAUAAAUAUUAAAAAUGAGAAGAUUUUGUUAGAAUGGAAACGGCUCACCAAAAGGCAGAGACAAGAAUGCAAACAGUAAGUCUAGCUGUCAUUCUCUGUAAUCUGGAGCAAGUCAGGUUUGUCUCUGGACCUUCUCCAGUUGUUUUACAACUUUCUAGACGUGCAGUGUAUCAACCCAACACUUUUAUUAAGCAGCUUCGACAGGGUUUUUGAGAUGACAGCUAGUCGAGAUUCAACUUAGCAUUGUACAGUUUUAUUUCACAAUUGGAACUUUCGGUUUUUAAUACUUUUAGGACUUUACUCAUUAAUGCAACACACUUUUUGUUGAACACCUACUAUGUACCAGGGAUUGAUAUAGCUGUAAAUACGACAUACUUAGUCUCUGUCUUUGUAGUACUUUAAUUCCUGUAACACUUGUUAAACUGGAUUAUUUUUAUGACCGUAGAGAAUUAGAGGGGGUGAGGGAUUUUAUUAUAUUAAAAUUGCAAUUUGAGUCUCUAGAUUUUAAAAAAUUUGUUCUUGGUCCUAAUUUCUGGUUUUUAGCCCUCCUAAUUUAGAAUUGUUUUUGAGUGCUGUUUAGCUUCUGCGACCAUUAAUAAAACUAAAAAUCUAACCAU
rnacentral:lncRNA from 1 species